AAGCGCCCCAGUUCGGAUUGCAGGCUGCAACCCGCCUGCAUGAAGCCGGAAUCGCUAGUAAUCGCGGAUCAGAAUGCCGCGGUGAAUACGUUCCCGGGUCUUGUACACACCGCCCGUCACACCAUGGGAGUCGGGAAUGCCCGAAGUCAGUGGCCCAACCGGAAGGGGGGAGCUGCCGAAGGCAGGCCCGGUGACUGGGGUGAAGUCGUAACAAGGUAGC
rnacentral:rRNA from 1 species